UACUAGUCGGCCAUGUGGCCAACGAACGUCGAGCAUGGGCUGAGCUUUUGGGCUUGUCUUCUAUUUCGAAACUUGACCUCAAAUCAGGUAGGACUACCCGCUGAACUUAAGCAUAUCAAUAAGCGGAGGAAAAGAAACUAACAAGGAUUCCCCUAGUAACUGCGAGUGAAGCGGGAAGAGCUCAAAUUUUGAAUCUGGCAGUCCUUGGCUGUCCGAGUUGUAAUCUAGAGAAGUGUUUUCCGCGCUGGACCGUGUAUAAGUCUCCUGGAAGGGAGCGUCAUAGAGGGUGAGAAUCCCGUCUUUGACACGGACUACCAGUGCUAUGUGAUGCGCUCUCGACGAGUCGAGUUGUUUGGGAAUGCAGCUCAAAUUGGGUGGUAAACUCCAUCUAAAGCUAAAUACAGGCGAGAGACCGAUAGCGAACAAGUACCGUGAGGGAAAGAUGAAAAGAACUUUGGAAAGAGAGUUAAACAGUACGUGAAAUUGCUGAAAGGGAAACGCUUGAUGUCAGUCGCGUCGGCCGGGGAUCAACCUUGCUUCUCGCUCGGUGUAUUUCCUGGUCGACGGGUCAGCAUCAGUUUCGGUCGCCGUACAAGGGCGAGGGGAACGUGGCACUCCUCGGAGUGUGUUAUAGCCUUUCGUCGCAUGCGGUGGUCGGGACUGAGGAGCUCAGCACGGCUUCCGCUUGUGCUCAGGAUGCUGGCAUAAUGGCCUUAAGCGACCCGUC
rnacentral:rRNA from 1 species